rnacentral:rRNA from 1 species
GACGAACGCUGGCGGCGGGCCUAACACAUGCAAGUCGAACGAGUGGCGGACGGGUGAGUAAUGUCUGGGAAACUGCCCGAUGGAGGGGGAUAACUACUGGAAACGGUAGCUAAUACCGCAUACCAUCGGAUGUGCCCAGAUGGGAUUAGCUAGUAGGUGGGGUAACGGCUCACCUAGGGGACGAUCCCUAGCUGGUCUGAGAGGAGGACCAGCCAAACUGGAACGUAGACACGGUCCAGACUCUUACGGGAGGCAGCAGUGGGGAAUAUUGCACAAUGGGCGCAAGCCUGAUGCAGCCAUGCCGCGUGUAUGAAGAAGGCCUUCGGGUUGAAAAGUACUUUCAGCGAGGAGGCGUUACUCGCAGAAGAAGCACCGGCUAACUCCGUGCCAGCAGACGCGGUAAUUC